rnacentral:rRNA from 1 species
AAUGCUUAGGAAUCUGCCUAUUAGUGGGGGACAACGUUUCGAAAGGAACGCUAAUACCGCAUACGCCCUACGGGGGAAAGCAGGGGAUCUUCGGACCUUGCGCUAAUAGAUGAGCCUAAGUCAGAUUAGCUAGUUGGUGGGGUAAAGGCCUACCAAGGCGACGAUCUGUAGCGGGUCUGAGAGGAUGAUCCGCCACACUGGGACUGAGACACGGCCCAGACUCCUACGGGAGGCAGCAGUGGGGAAUAUUGGACAAUGGGGGGAACCCUGAUCCAGCCAUGCCGCGUGUGUGAAGAAGGCCUUUUGGUUGUAAAGCACUUUAAGCGAGGAGGAGGCUCUUCUAGUUAAUACCUAGGAUGAGUGGACGUUACUCGCAGAAUAAGCACCGGCUAACUCUGUGCCAGCAGCCGCGGUAAUACAGAGGGUGCGAGCGUUAAUCGGAUUUACUGGGCGUAAAGCGUACGUAGGCGGCUUUUUAAGUCGGAUGUGAAAUCCCUGAGCUUAACUUAGGAAUUGCAUUCGAUACUGGGAAGCUAGAGUAUGGGAGAGGAUGGUAGAAUUCCAGGUGUAGCGGUGAAAUGCGUAGAGAUCUGGAGGAAUACCGAUGGCGAAGGCAGCCAUCUGGCCUAAUACUGACGCUGAGGUACGAAAGCAUGGGGAGCAAACAGGAUUAGAUACCCUGGUAGUCCAUGCCGUAAACGAUGUCUACUAGCCGUUGGGGCCUUUGAGGCUUUAGUGGCGCAGCUAACGCGAUAAGUAGACCGCCUGGGGAGUACGGUCGCAAGACUAAAACUCAAAUG